ensembl:lncRNA
AAGGACAGAGGAGAGACAACAAUGCUGUGUGUCAUGCCAACUCUUAAUCGCGGUGUGGGAGGUUGGUGAAGAGGUGGUGGUGGCAAUUUAUGGCCUAAGGUUGGUGAAGAGGUGGUGGUGGCAAUUUAUGGCCUAAGGUUGGUGAAGAGGUGGUGGUGGCCUUUAUGGCCUAAGGUUGGUGAAGAGGUGGUGGUGGCCUUUAUGGCCGGAGGUUGGUAAAGAGGUGGUGUUGGUCUUUAUGGCCGGAGGUUGGUGAAGAGGUGGUGGUGGCCUUUAUGGCCGGAGGUUGGUGAAGAGAUGGUGGUGGCCUUUAUGGCCGGCAG